rnacentral:rRNA from 1 species
CCUACGGGAGGCUGCAGUGAGGAAUAUUGGUCAAUGGUCGCAAGACUGAACCAGCCAUGCCGCGUGCAGGAUGAAGGCCCUAUGGGUUGUAAACUGCUUUUCUCAGGGAAUAAACCCUUCUACGUGUAGAAGGCUGAAGGUACCUGAGGAAUAAGGACCGGCUAACUUCGUGCCAGCAGCCGCGGUAAUACGAAGGGUCCAAGCGUUAUCCGGAUUUAUUGGGUUUAAAGGGUGCGCAGGUGGGGCUUUAAGUCAGUGGUGAAAUCUCGUAGCUC